rnacentral:rRNA from 1 species
AUUGAACGCUGGCGGCAGGCCUAACACAUGCAAGUCGAGCGAGUGGCGGACGGGUGAGUAAUGUCUGGGGAACUGCCCGAUAGAGGGGGAUAACUACUGGAAACGGUGGCUAAUACCGCAUACUAUCGGAUGAACCCAUAUGGGAUUAGCUAGUAGGUGGGGUAAAGGCUCACCUAGGCGACGAUCUCUAGCUGGUCUGAGAGGAUGACCAGCCACACUGGAACUGAGACACGGCCCAGACUCCUACGGGAGGCAGCAGUGGGGAAUAUUGCACAAUGGGCGCAAGCCUGAUGCAGCCAUGCCGCGUGUAUGAAGAAGGCCUUAGGGUUGUAAAGUACUUUCAGCGAGGAGGCGUUACCCGCAGAAGAAGCACCGGCUAACUCCGUGCCAGCAGCCGCGGUAAUUC